GCCUGGGUGGCUCAGUCUCUUAAGAGUCUGACUUCAGCUCAGGUUAUGACUGCACGGUUUGUGGGUUCAAGCCCCACAUCAGGCU
rnacentral:tRNA from 1 species